GAUAUAAGCGUUGUCAAGGUUAUGUUAUGUCACUGAUUUAAGCUUGUAUGUCAUUUUGAUUUGUGACACCUUAAACAAUCUCUGCCAAUUAAAGUGCAAAGAAACUGGGUCAUGGGUGUUCACAAUGUCAGUGCAAGUAGACGUACACAAAUGUUUCUCAUGAAAAUGCAACAAAGUCUCAUAUGUAACACAACACAAGUAUACAAAUGGUUUUUUCCAGAACACUGAAAGCUAUCAACUAGACGGCGUCAUGUCACAGUCAACAGAAAUAUGCUGUUAAUCAUGGAACUUCAAAUCAGACGUGCAGUUGUUAUGUCCAACAACCGCAAUUCAUGGGCAGAUGGAUUUGAACUAUUUUUUUUUUGUUGCAUUUAUACGUAGGAUUAUAAAGUCCCCAAAGACCCUCAUUCUUGCCAUAUUUUUCAGUCUACUAACUAUAUAUAACUCAAAAUUUUACAUAAACUUCCACCAAGUGUCUGGCCUAAUAUCAGCAGGGAUGUCAUGGUUCGCAAGAGGUAGAUGGAUACAAACACUUUGAAGGAUCACACUGUCUCAAUCUUCAAGGUGACACAGUAUGGUGGGACCACAGUUAGGUUAUAUAGCAAGUUAUCUUGGAGAGCAGAAGACUGAGCCCAGAGGAAAACAUGUUUCUCUGAAAUGUUACAGUCUGGUUACAACACCAAAGGAAUGUCACAAACUGAAAGAUCACUAUCAGAAAGUAUUUAAGUUUUGAGAAAGCAAAUAUGAAUUUGCAGCAGAAUUCGAAAUAAAAUUUACAAAUGUAAUAUGCAUUAUAAUGAAAUGUAGAAAGGAAAAGUACAUCAUAACAAGUGACAUGAAGCAGCUUAUCAUGACUGGGACAGCAGUACAGAUCAGGGGCAUCAGGGAUGGAAACCAAAAUACUGUUCUGCCCAUGGAGCUCUAAGUACCAUGCUUGUUCAUAACAGAAAUACAUACAGGCAUCCUACUUUUUCUGAAACCAUACUUGGUUUCUGGCUUGAGGUUGCUACAAUGAAAAAAGUAAAGAACUUCCUUACCCCAGUUUUCAAAAUAAGUGGCUCUUGCUUAUUUCUUAAAGGAGGCACCAAUUUAUGGAUUGUACUCUGAUUUUAUUCAUAUGUCACUGAAAAUGUCUAGAGUCAGUACAUUGGCUGUGGUGUGUAAGCGUGUCAUAACUGUGUCAGCAAUGAUGGCUACAUGAACCUUUUUCAUUACUUGUGGAUCACAUUUUGUUCUUCCAGGAGUGCAUGGCCUUCGCCAUCCAUAUAGACAACACGAAACAACAGUUUGAUGGGAUAUGGUUUUUAACCUCAUUGACAUUUAGUUACUUGUUCUGUACAUUGCAAUGAUGUCUUGUAUAAACAACCAUGUGAGGCAUAUGACAAUGAUUCACAAGGUCAAAACCAUUCCAUGAUAAGUCUUUUAAAAGGAAAACUAACUUCUCUUCAUUUACUUUUCCACGUUAAGUUUCCAUUACUCAACACACAAAAAUAACAUCAUUAUUUUUAAACUUAACAGGCAAAACAACUAUGGACUAUAAAAACAAUAAACUAGCACCAAGAAAUUAGGCUUUCCAAAGGAACUACUGCAACAAAUUCUGUCUGCUGUAAUCUACCCUGACUCAGUUCAAUUUCUCACAUUUUGUUCCAAUAACAGAACUGUUAUUCACAAAAUCAAGCAUGUCUUACAAUAUGUACCCAUUUAAAUUCAGCGAGGACAAAACUGAAAUAUGUUCAGAAAAGCCUUCUAAUAUUCAGAAUCAGAAAUGUCUAUGUGGUAAGAUUCAAGUGCAUCCCUUGCAUAGCCAUAAUCACAACACACUUUACUUUAUUUACAUAUGGUUCAUGUAAUAACACUGUCAGUAACUUGGACUGUGACAGGAUGAUUAGCAAAUAAUGGAUCGGGACAGUAGCAUGGGGCACCACAUUCGAACAGCAACUUGGCAGUCAUUAUUCCUUUCCCCACACUCUGAAUGAGAGCAAGAACUUAUCUAGCAGCUAUAUUAUCCUGGUAUUUGCCAGACAGGCCUGAGGAAAAUUAUGAAACCCUCACCCUCCAUAUUGAGAUUCCAACAUAGGACCUCUCAAUUAUCAAGCAAGAGUACUAUCCACUCAACAGGGAUAUUCUGUACAUUUAUUUAUGAAGAGGAAAUGAGGAAUAUAUGACAUGAUUUUACUGAAUAAUCCAACUGCCUGAUGUCCUGGGCUGUGGGACUCCUACUCAUUCAGUUUUCACUAGCUUUCUUAAUGGCCAAGAAACUUUACAGUAUGUUAAUUCAUUCAUUUUCUAUAUAUCUGUGGGAACUGCCCACAUUCAAGCAAGUGUGACAACACAAGCGUCAUUGCUUAGCAACAACAAGUCGCUGAACUCUUCUGCCGAAGUGCGCCGACGUCCGUGGGUUCAUCAACGCUAGCGAGUUCAGCAACUUGUUGUUGCUAAGCAAUGACGCUUGCGUUGUAGGAUUUAUUGCAGCUGCACAGUAUACACAGAUGGCAUCUCCUCGUCUGUGAAGUAAAAAACCUAAUAUGUGGAAAUAGUGAUGAAAAAAUAUCAUGGCAAAAUAAAUAUGCACAAUGUACGAGUUAUUGUUAAACAAAUAAACAAUCCAUUUCAUUACUAAGUGGAUUCUAAUAAACAUUUUCUGUACUCAGUUCUGUUUAUCCUAUGAAAAAUAAAAUGCUACAACAGAACUAUUCAUAAAGUUAUUUUACUUAUCUCUUCAUCAUUUUUUUGUCAUUUCUACAAACUGUCAAUUUGUAGUGUUCACUGGGUGUUGUAAACCUCACCUUAAUGUAAUGCCAUAACCUGGGUUCAUAGGAAUCAUCGCUACCAGCUCCAGAUCACUUGCAUUUUUUUUGGCAAAAUGGUUUAUUGGUUGGGGGGGAGUAUGAGUCUGAUAUACCUGUACAGAAGUUCUGUUAUGAUUUCACUGAGUUGAUGUGAUGAAUGUAUUUUCUGAAGACGAAACAAAAGUAGGCAUAUAUCUCAUGACACUGCUCAGACCUGUCUUGGAUAGAAGGAAUGAGGAUAGUUGAAGGUGUAGAAAGCAUAUUCUAGAGUUAUAUUCACAUUUUAAUGACUUAAAUAUUGUCAGCAAUAUUUUAAGAUGGUACAGAACCUAUUAAACAACUAAACCUUAAUAGCACAAAGGUGUAGGUAGCUGAAAAUAAGUUGGC